AGAAGCAGCAUGGCAUUUUGGAGCCCCCCCACCCAAAAAAAAACAUUCAAGGGGAGGGGCUAUUAAAGGGUGGGAUUGAUAGAGCGAGCGAGUGGAGCAAGGUGAGGGAGGCACUUCUGAACUGUCUGGUACAGAGAGAAACAUGACCGGUGUAGAUUGCGCCUCUGACCUGCGGUCAUACAGAACUAGAAGAGUGUGAUUACAAUGCGGGAACAAUUCCCAGCUGGGAACUGCAGGUUACCGGUUGAGCCGUUGGGACUACAUUGUCUUGAUCCGGGUGCACCACCAUCCCAUUGGUGGCGUUAACAAGGAAGGAAUUCCUCAAUCGGCGCUCCUACAACAAAAGAGAAAGGGGAGAGGAGCCGGUGGGAGGGGUACAGGGGGGAUUGUUGUGAGAGGAGGACAUUGUUUGCCUGUGGCUGUGGGCAACGGAAAGCAUGGGUUAUCAGGCCUUAUGUGUGUUUGUUUAGGGAGCGCGUUUGAACGUUAGGAGGUUUGGGCGAGUUCUGUGAGUAGUGCGAGCGACAGAUUAUGGAUGCGUGUGUGGAGACUCCUUUGGGAGGGAGGCAGCUCAAAGGAUGCUCAAAGGAGGCCGUUUUUUCCCCCUCUCCCCUUUGAAUUGUGACUGAGGGCUAGCUGAAUUCCUUUGCUCAAGCCGUUGUGCUCCUCUCUACUCUUGGGCAUCUGAAGGGCCUUCUGCAUGCAUGGCCAAGGGGCCCACUCUCGGCUUUUACCUCACUAGCCCCUGGGUUGAAGGAUUAUGGGUAACCUCAUCAGCCGACCCAGCUGCCUGGGCCAGAAGUCCAAGCAGGUGAGGUCAGACGAGGCCUACCUGAAGGAAUGCUUCCAGCAGCGCCGGGAAUGGCACCAUGGGGAGGCAAAGAGGGAGGAGUUGGUGAGAGAGAGGGAGGGGGAGGAGGGAGAGAAGGAGGAGGUGGUGACGGACAGGAAGAGGAAAGACGAAGUGGACGACGGCUUAUCUCCCAGCCACACCCCUCCCUCGGACAAACCUCUCCGGGCCAACCCCUCCCCCGCCCCAACGGUCACCACCACCAGCACUUUGGACAAUGCCUGGCACGGCACCCCCUCCCCCAUCAAGACCUCCAGGAACAGCACACUGACACGGAAGACUGUGGUCCCAGAGAUGCCUUAUGUGAGACCCCCUCUAGUCCAGCCUGGAUCAAUCCCGGGAUCAUCGGAGAGAAGGGCCAGCUUCCAGAGAAGGGACUCCAGAGAUGGAAGCCUCCACAGGAGGGAGUCUAGAGAAGGCAGUCCCUGGUCCUGGAAAACCCUGGCCUCCCGCGAAGUCACAGAAGUGACAGAAGUGACGGAGACGGUGGUGACAGAGAUUGUGGAGGUGACGGAGUACCCAUCCGGAGAAAAGGGGGGGGAUCCCGUAGUAACCAGGACUGUUAGGGUUCUUACUGGAGCAGCUGAGGAACUCGCUGAGCUGCAAAGUGAUGGACAUUCUAGCUCAGAUCAAGAUUCUAACUUGGACCGUUGGAGGGGAAUGAGGUCUACCUUGACUCUGAGAGAUGACUUUGCAGAUUCUGAGACAUUCCAUCAAUCCCUGGAAUCACUGUUGACCUGGGUCUGUGAGGUAGAGGAGCUCACAGCCAAUCAGAAGCCUGCAUCAUCAGAGGUCAAAGUGGUGAAAGCACAGCUUCAGGAGCAGAAGCUCCUGCAGCGCCUCCUGGAGGACCGGAGACGUAGUAUGGAGACCAUGAUGCUGGAGGGCCCUCAACUGACUGAAGCCUUCCCAGGGGAAGAGGGGGAGCAAGCCAGGAUCCAGCUCUCCACACUCAGACACAAAUGGGAAGCUUUACUACUAGUGGCAGAAAACAGACGGUGCAGCCUGGAGCUCAUCCUGCCUAGGGCUCAGCUCUUCCAGGAGAGGGUGGACAGCCUGCAGCACUGGCUCAUCUCUGUAGAACAGGACCUAGCCGAGUUACGCAAUGCUGAGAGGUCCAUGCUACAUCUUCCUGAAGCUACAGAGCAGGCAAAGGCUGUGGUGGAAGAGAUCAAGGCGAAAAACGUUGACUUGGUAAAUGUCCAACAGACAGGCCGUGAUCUCAAGGAGAAGAUUACAGCGGAGGAAGCGCAGCAGGUGCAGGAGCGUGUGGACAACCUGAGGAUCCGUUGGUCGGUGCUCACCCUGAGCAGUGGUGACGUGCUGCAGAGGCUGGAGCAGGUCCUGGAGGCUUCCAGCCGCUGCACCUCCAGCCAGGAGGACCUCCACCUGUGGCUGGGCCGCAUUGAGAGAGAGAUUCUGGGGCCUGCUGCGGGCCAGACAGGGGGUGGAGACAUGGUGCUCUGUACUGCGGAGAAACAGAGGUUGGAGCAGGCUGUGGUGAAGGAAAUGGCCUGGUUCCGAGCCACAGCCCUGGGACUGGAUAAUCUGAAAGCCAUCACUCUCGAACCAGAGCUAAUUUCUGCCCAGCUCUACGAACAGAAGAUCCUUGCCGUGGAGAUUUUGCAGCACAGGUUUAACAUUGAGAAGAUGGCCAAGAUCGCCGAAAUCUUGCUGACAUAUGGUGACGAAGGGGAAAUAGGAGAUCUACAGACUCCAUUGGACGCCUUACAGGAACAAUGCAACACCACGUCAGCCACCAACUCUCAUGUGGUACUUCAACUGGAGCAUGCCCAGUCCCUUCUGGUUCAGUUCUCAGAGGGCCUCGCUGAGGUGUCACCAUGGCUAGAGGAAACACAAGACCUCAUUGGACGGCUUUCCCUGAGUACUAUUAGCUAUGAGGCAUUCCGGGAACAGCAGGAUCUCUUACAGGGUCUAAGGGAGUCCAUAGCAGAGCACAGACCCCUGAUAGCGCGGCUAUGCUCCCUGGGAAAACGUCUGUCAGAGUUAAGCCCUGCCCAGGGGGAGGAGUUCUAUCGUAAAGCCACAGAGGCAGAGGAGAAGCACAGGACCAUCAGGGACAGAGUCAGAGAGGCUGCCAAUCUACUGGAAGAGUCUCUGCCCAGAUACACACAGUUGAACGAGAGGAUGACGCUGAUUGGCGAGAGUCUGGAUCGCCUGCGGAGCCGCAUGGAGUCACCAGUCUCAUUGCAGGGCCAGACCUCUCGCAUCCAGGAACAGCUUCAGGACAAUAAACACAGCCUGGCUGAGCUGUCCAAGCUGGAGCUUGGCCUGGGGAGUGUCAGGACCCAGGCUGACGAACUCCUCACCAAUACACAGGCAGCUGGGGACUCCUCUAUUGGCACAGUGAUCCAGCAGCGUGUGUCCAGCCUGGGCCAGCUGUGGAAAGACACUCAGAGACAGGCUGAGGAGAGAGGCAGCUGGCUGCUCAACCUGCUGGACUUAGCCCUCAAGUUCUGGAGUGACGUCAAUGACAUGACGGCCGGGCUGAAUGAUGCCCAGCAGGCUGUCCUGGAUCUGAACGCCAGCCGCACCGACUCGGAGACCAUCCGCCAGAGUCUGGAGACCAUGCAGACCCUCAGAGAGGACAUUGAUAGUCUCCAGGGGGACCUGGACACGCUUGGCAUUCUAGGAAUGGACCUUAUGUCAGCAUGUGGAGACACAGACAAACCUGAUGUCACCAAGAGCUUGGAUGAGCUGUACUGCACGUGGAACAACCUAAGCAAACUGUGGAGUGAGUGUGACAGGAAGCUGGAACAAUCUCUACAGAUGGCUUUACAUUACCAGGACACUAUGCAGGGGCUUUUUGAGUGGCUUAAAUCAGCAGAGCUGAGAUCCACAGAGGAGUUCUUGGUCGAAAGUGACCUGGAAUCAGUCAAAGAGCAGCUGUGUGAUCUCAAGGAGUUCAAACGAGAACUGUACCAGAAGAAGAUAGAGAUUGAGAGCCUGAAUCAUCGCUUUGUGUGCAGGCUGUCUACAGGCUCUGAGCGUCCUGGCUCCAUCUCUCCCCUGUGUGAUUUCAGACAGCGCUGGGACACCCUGGAGACAGAGACCGUCAGCAGACAGCAUCAGUUGGAGUGUGCGUUGCUGCGCUUGGGCCAGUUCCAGAACACGUUGGAUGAGCUGCACACCUGGUUGUCCCACACAGCGGGCCUCCUCCAGGGCAAUCGGGCAAUCAGCAUUGACCUGCAGGCCUGUGAGAUAGAGCUGGCCAAGCACAAGGUGCUGCGUAAUGAUGUCAUGUCCCACGUGCGUACGGUGGAGUCUCUUAACCAGGCAGGGCGGGGACUACUGGAGGCAGGGACAGGGGACAGCCCUCAUGGUCUGCAGCCACGUCUGGAGCAGCUGAACGAACGCUGGGAGUUUGUACGCUGUGAGACAGAGCGCAGACAGCUAGAGCUGGAGAACAACCUAAGUCAGGUCCAAGAUGUAACCAUGGAAAUCCAGGACCUUCUUCAAUGGUUGGAAAGCACAGAUCUGAGGCUGUCUUCCAGUAAGACCAUAUGGGGGAUGCCUGACUCUGCUAGCGAGAGGCUCAGUGCACAUCUGGAGCUGUGUAAUGAGAUGGACUCCAAGCUGCAUGCCUACACCGACGUGAGGAAUGCCGUCCAUAGGAUGCUGGAGAGCAGUGACGUUACUCGGGGCUCCAGCACAGAACACAGCCUCUGUAUUCUGGAACAGAAAUGGGGCAGUGUUUAUGGGAAAGUACAGGACCGUAAGGCUAAGCUAACAGAAGGAUUGAACUUGGCCAAGGAGUUCCAGAGUAAUGUCCAAGAGCUGUUGUCCAGGAUGGCCAAAUGUGAGGAGUCCAUUGGGGUCCUGCCAGCACCCAGCUUUGUCCUGGACACAGUCUGUGGUCAGCUUCAAGACCACCGGGCGCUGGUAAGUGAGGUGAACUGUUAUGGUGAGAAGAAGACAGUGGUGGAAAAUGCAGCCUCCAGACUGAUGGAGGGGAGCAGAAAGGAGGACUGUGAUUUGGUUCACAAUAUGGCCAUGACCGUACAGGACCGCUACAGAAAGCUUCACCAGCGCAUGGCAGAGAGAGGAAGAACACUGGAAGAGGUCAAGAAGAAUGCAAAACAGUUUAUUGAAUCUUGGCGCCUCCUAGUGGACUGGAUCACAGAGGUGGAGCAGACACUGGAUACACACAAAGAGAUUGCUGUAGAUCAUGAGGAAAUCAAACUGCAAUUAAUUGAACAGAAGGAGUUCCAGAAGCUUCUGCGCUCCAAGCGACCCAUGUAUGAUGCCACUGUGAAAAGUGGACGGGGCCUCCAUGAAAGGUCUCAGAACAUCCAGGACAGGCAGCACCUGGAGAACCUCCUGUCUGAGCUCCGUGACUCAUGGGAUACCAUUAGUGGCAAAUCAAUGGAAAGGCAACACAAGCUAGAAGAAGCACUGUUGUUUUCAGGCAGAUUCACUGAUGCCCUACAAGCCUUGAAUGAUUGGUUAUACAGAGCAGAGCCGCAGCUCGCUGAAGAUGUGCCUGUUGGUGGGGAAAAAGACAUGGUCAGCAGUCUUAUCGACAAGCACAAGGUGUUUCAGAAGGAGCUGGGGAAGCGAACUGGAUGCAUUAGGACCUUAAAGCGCUCAGUAAGAGACUUGACCCGGAGCAGCACAGCUGAUGCUCAUUGGUUGCAGGAGCAAAUGGAUGAAUUAGAGGGACGCUGGGAGGCCGUAUGUAAACUUUCCAUCUCCAAGCAGGCCAGACUGGAGGAAGCCCUUCAGCAGGGUGAAAGGUUUGAUGGGUUGGUCCACUCGUUCCUAGAGCAUCUGGUAGAGGUAGAGAGAGUGCUGAAGUAUGGCAACAUCCCUGAAGAUGAGCAAACUCUACUAGCCUUUCGCAAACAACAUGAGGAUUCAAUGAAUCUGCUGCGCUAUCAGGAGAUGGAACUAGAGAGCAUCCGGUGUCUGGGAGAGGAGAUCCUGUCCUCCUGUCACCCAGACUCCAUCAUCACACUGAAGUCCUGGAUCAGCGUCACCAAGACCCGCUAUGAAGAGGUGCAGACAUGGGCCCAGCAACAAGGCCAGAGGAUCCAGGCCAGCCUGUCGGCUCUGGAGGCUGAGCGAGAGGAGGUGCAGCAACUCCUGGACUGGAUCUUCUCGGCUGAAGAGGCCCUCAAUCUCAAGGACCUGGAGCCACCGGCUGAAAGCAUAGAGCACAACCAGGAACUCAUGCUUCAACACAUGGUGUUCAUGGAAGAGCUGAACAGGAAACUCCCACAAGUGGAACACGCAACGAAAUCCUGCAAACAGAAGCCUAUGCCCAAGCAGCAGUCUUCACCCAGCCGCAAGGCCCUGACAAAGAGGAGGAGCACCCUGAAGCUCCAGCCAGCCCUCGUGCAUCUUCCCCUGAACAACCUGGAACCUCAGACCCCUCAGCUGUAUCAGCUGAUCAGCCACUGGCAGAAACUCUGGCUCUUGGCUCUGGCUAGACAGGGCCACCUGGAGCAGCAUGAUCAGAGACUCAGAGAGGUGGAGGAAUUUGCUAAUUUCGACUUCAACGUCUGGCGCAAGCGCUACAUGCAGUGGAUCAGCCACCUCAAGUCACGGAUCUUGGAUGUGUUCCGUAACAUCGACAGGGACCAGGAUGGACGAAUCAGCAAGAAGGAGUUAAUCGACAGCAUCCUGGCAUCCAAAUUCCCCACCAACUCCCUGGAGAUGAAUGCAGUGGCCAAUAUCUUUGACAUGAAUGGGGACGGUUACAUUGACUACUAUGAGUUUGUAAGCGCUCUCCAUCCAAGCCGAGAUCCAUACCGUAGGACAUUGGAUGCAGAUCAGAUCAAUGAGGAGGUUAGUCGACAGGUGUCUCAAUGUAACUGUCCGAAGAGGUUCCAAGUGGAGCAGAUCAGUGCUAACCGCUAUAGGUUCGGAGAUUCCCAACAGUUGCGGAUGGUUCGGAUCCUGCGGAGUACCUUGAUGGUGCGGGUCGGAGGAGGCUGGACAGCACUAGAUGAAUUCCUGGUCAAAAAUGACCCUUGUAGAGUGAAAGGACGGACAAACGUGAAGAUUAAGGAGAAGUACUUAACUCCAGAAUCAUAUGACCACUCCCGAAGGGGAGGCUCGUCUAAAACCCUGACAGUCAGCAGGUCCAACUCAAGCCUGAGUCUCUAUAGCAGUGCUUCGGCACCUAGCAGCCCCCUAACACGCAAGGCAUUGCUUCGGAGGAGUCUUUCAGGAGACCGCUGCAUCCGUCCCAGGAGCUCUAUUGCUGCUCUGGGAUCAGAUUUACAGUUCUCCCCCACCGGGGAUGAUGAACUGCCUUCACCAUCAGAGGAGGCUGUAAGACUACCCACAUGAUAACGAUAUCGUCAAGAUGAGCAACAUGUCUACACCACAAGGUUGAGUUCCAUUACAGCCUUGGGUCCCAGAGACAGUAACAGGGAGCAUGAUACACAAUCUGUUGGAGCUGUAUGGCCAACAACAACCACAGGAUUUACAUAUUAUAAGAAUUCUGGGACCAGGCGAAGGACAAAAUGCAGGUGGGGCCAAACCACUUUCAUGUUCAAAAUGAGCUGUAGAUGCAACAAUGUCAGUUACAGGUGUUUUUGGAAUGUUCUGUAAGUAUUGUUUUAAAUGCUAUAUUUUAAGUUCAAUAUGUAUAAAUAUGGGCAUGGGUCAUUUUUAUUAUGUAGAGAUUAUUUUCUCAGGUUUGGUUUCGCCUUUUGAUUUAAUUGUGGAACAUUACUGUGAGCUUGUAGAUGUGAAUUCAUGUCAUUUACUUUCUGUGUUACUGCUGUAGUCACUAAGGGUCUUGCAUGGGAAAACAUUUGAAUAUGAAGUUGUGUUCAUCAUACAUGAACUUCUACCCAUGAAAUGCACUUUUCCUUUGCUUAAUUACUGCUAGUGCAUUGUUUUCAUGAGCGGUGCAACACUUUCUGGUUGAAUUCACUUUGUUUCAGUGUUUAGGAUUAUAGAAAUAAAUUCAUGUAUAUUUUGAUUCUGAUGAACUGUAUUGUAAUAGGGUUUCAUAGAGUGUGACCCUCUUGAGAUACAAAAGUGUAGUUCUCAAUGAGAUCUCAAUUUUCUUUUCUUCUAACUGUCUUUAUUUCUGACACUUUUAUGCAAAACUGCACAUUUCUGUUACAUCUUUUUCCUUAUUCAAAGUCUACACAUAAAUGUCCCACCUAGGCAUAGCAAUCAGUUCCCUCUCCAUCACAUUUACAUACAAAAACCAUUAAGCAAAGAUCUGAUGUCACUCACUAUUACUGUGCAGGUGCUACAUUUUAUAGCUUAUAUCUUAUAAACCCAAAGAAACCGUUCAUGAUGUGAUAUUUUGUCCUACACCCUCAGCUCUACCUAAGGCAGAUGUUGGAGUCAAGGAGGCAUCCUAACAUGCUUUGUGUUUCAGAAUGUUUGUUUUCAAAAUUUGGGCUACUUUCCUAAAGAAGUUAAAUCCACUUUUUGUGUUGUGUUCUCUUUUCUUUUCCAUGAUACUAACAAGGAUUAUUAGAUGUGUUGUUAGCAGGUGUUUGUCGGUAUUUAAGUGAGGAAUUUCUGUUUUUAUUCAGACUGGUCUAAGAAUAGUUUUAUCUUACACUAACUAAAACAUUGAUUUGUGUCCUUUUUAUAUUAGUGUUCAAAUUAUGUAGUUCUGAUUCUGAUUUAUUCAUGCCAUGAUAUUUGCACCUCGAUGUGACAAUACAACUUGAUACAACAGUACUUGAAUCUUAAUGUACUGUAAGACACAAUAGCCAGAUUGUACUGCUAUGCACCCCUAUCUUUCUGCAAUGUCAAUUUCUAUAUUCAGCUCUUGUUCUGAUAUCUAAUUUAGAGACACUGUAGAAGAAUGGCACUAAUAUUGUUGAAGUCCAUUGUAAA